rnacentral:lncRNA from 1 species
CGGCCCAGGAUCCUGCGCCCACAGUGCCACCCAGGCGCCCCAAGCAGGAGGAGAGCGCCUUGUGCCCUCUAAGGUAGACUGGCUCUGGCCAGGGAGGCUCCAUGCAGGACUCCUCAGAAACCAGGAAGAGCCCUGGGGCAGCUGCAUCGCGCCAAAGGGACCCAUCCGGCCCAGGAUCCUGCGCCCACAGUGGCACCCAGGCGCCCCAAGCAGGAGGAGAGCGCCUUUUGCCCUCUAAGGUAGACUGGCUCUGGCCCUGGAGGCUCCAUGCAGGAAGAGCUCUGAGGCAGCUGCAUCGCGCCAAAGGGACCCAUCCGGCCCAGGAUCCUGCGCCCACAGUGCCACCCAGGCAGGAGGAGAGCGCCUUUUGCCCUCUAAGGUAGACUGGCUCUGGCCCUGGAGGCUCCAUGCAGGACUCCUCAGAAACCAGGAAGAGCCCUGGGGCAGCUGCAUCGCGCCAAAGGGACCCAUCCGGCCCAGGAUCCUGCGCCCACAGUGCCACCCAGGCGCCCCAAGCAGGAGGAGAGCGCCUUGUGCCCUCUAAGGUAGACUGGCUCUGUCCAUGGAGGCUCCAUGCAGGAAGAGCCCUGAGGCAGGUGCCUCGCGCCAAAGGGACCCAUCCGGCCAGGAUCCUGCACCCACAGUGGCACCCAGGCGCCCCAAGCAGGAGGAGAGCGCCUUGUGCCCUCUAAGGUAGACUGGCUCUGUCCAUGGAGGCUCCAUGCAAGAAGAGCUCUGAGGCAGCUGCAUCGCGCCAAAGGGACCCAUCCGGCCCAGGAUCCUGCGCCCACAGUGCCACCCAGGCGCCCCAAGCAGGAGGAGAGCGCCUUGUGCCCUCUAAGGUAGACUGGCUCUGUCCAUGGAGGCUCCAUGCAAGAAGAGCUCUGAGGCAGCUGCAUCGCGCCAAAGGGACCCAUCCGGCCCAGGAUCCUGCGCCCACAGUGCCACCCAGGCGCCCCAAGCAGGAGGAGAGCGCCUUUUGCCCUCUAAGGUAGACUGGCUCUGGCCCUGGAGGCUCCAUGCAAGAAGAGCCCUGGGGCAGCUGCAUCGCGCCAAAGGGACCCAUCCGGCCCAGGAUCCUGCGCCCACAGUGCCACCCAGGCGCCCCAAGCAGGAGGAGAGCGCCUUGUGCCCUCUAAGGUAGACUGGCUCUGGCCCUGGAGGCUCCAUGCAGGACUCCUCAGAAACCAGGAAGAGCCCUGGGGCAGGUGCCUCGCGCCAAAGGGACCCAUCCGGCCCAGGAUCCUGCGCCCACAGUGGCACCCAGGCACCCCAAGCAGGAGGAGAGCGCCUUUUGCCCUCUAAGGUAGACUGGCUCUGGCCCGGGAGGCUCCAUGCAGGAAGAGCUCUGAGGCAGCUGCAUCGCGCCAAAGGGACCCAUCCGGCCCAGGAUCCUGCGCCCACAGUGCCACCCAGGCGCCCCAAGCAGGAGGAGAGCGCCUUGUGCCCUCUAAGGUAGACUGGCUCUGGCCAGGGAGGCUCCAUGCAGGACUCCUCAGAAACCAGGAAGAGCCCUGGGGCAGCUGCAUCGCGCCAAAGGGACCCAUCCGGCCCAGGAUCCUGCGCCCACAGUGGCCCCCAGGCGCCCCAAGCAGGAGGAGAGCGCCUUUUGCCCUCUAAGGUAGACUGGCUCUGUCCAUGGAGGCUCCAUGCAAGAAGAGCUCUGAGGCAGCUGCAUCGCGCCAAAGGGACCCAUCCGGCCAGGAUCCUGCGCCAACAGUGCCACCCAGGCGCCCCCAAGCAGGAGGAGAGCACCUUCCCCCCCGCCUUGCCCUCUAAGGUAGACUGGCUCUGUCCAUGGAGCCUCCGUGCAGGAAGAGCCCUGAGGCAGCUGCAUCACGCCAAAGGGGACCCAUCCGGCCCAGGAUCCUGCGCCCACAGUGCCACCCAGGCGCCCCAAGCAGGAGGAGAGCGCCUCUUGCCCUCUAAGGUAGACUGGCUCUGGCCAGGGAGGCUCCGUGCAAGAAGAGCUCUGAGGAAGGUGCAUCGCGCCAAAGGGACCCAUCCGGCCCAGGAUCCUGCCAUAGCUGUCAACUUUCAGAUUUGAAAAUAAGAGAUCAGCAGCCUCCCCUGUCCCGGGGACACUCUAUGGGAGAUCUAACAAUCCGGGGUACCAGUGGGAAACGGCGCUGGAAUAAGGGAAUUUCCCCCCCAAAAAGGGAAGGUCGUGGGGCGCAGGGGGUUCUGUGGUCUAUAAGCCACUGAGACUUGGGCUGCCCAGCGGAAGGUCUGUGGUUCCAGUCCCCAUGACUGAGCUCCCUUGCUCUGUCCCAGCUCCUGCCAACCUAGCAGUUCCAAAGCACACCAGCGCAAGUAGAGAAAUAGGUACCCCUGUGGUGUUUCUGUGCGCUCUGGCACUUCUCACGGUGUCCAUUUGGACCAGAAGCGGUUCAGUCCUGCUGCCCAUAUGACCCGGAAAGCUGUCUGUGGACCAACCUGGGCUCCCUCAGCCUGAAGCGAGAUGAGCUCUGCGCCCCAGUCGCCUUUGACGGGACCUGACCGUCCAGGGGUCCUUGCCUCACCCAGCAGAGGAAGGGAAGGUCCACGUGUUGGACUGAGCAGGAAAAGGGGGGCUGCCUUGGCCUCCCCUUCCCCUUUAGAGCAAGCGCCUCUGGGGCGCAAGAGGGGGGUGCUGGGUCCGCUACUGCCGCUCUCGCUGCCCCUCUCCAACUUCAGCAGGAGCUGUUUAUCCAGAGGGGAGAGAAUCCUGGGAGGAGACAUUUCAUUUCUUUAUUAAAUUUAUAUACCGCCCUAUGCCUGCAGGCUUUCAGGGCAAUUCACAAAAUAAAACCAGAAUAUAAAACCACAGAAUAUUCAAAAUUAAAAACAACCACCACCCGAUAAACCCUCCCCCCAAACACAUUUUAAAAGGCCAUAGGAUGUCAAUCAAAUCAACCAAAGGCCUGGUUAAAAAGGAACAUUUUUACCCGGUGCCUAAAGGUGUAUAUCAAAGGCGCUUGGGGGAACUUCCCUGGGGAGAGCAUUCUUCACGUGGGGAGCCACUGCAGAGAAGGCCCCGUUCCUGUGCUGCCACCCUCCGGACCUCUCAAGGAGGAGGGACACAAAGAAGGGCCUCAGGUGAUCUCAGGGUCCUGGUAGGUUCAUAUGGAGAGAGGCGGUCCUUGAGGAAUUGCAGUCCUGAGAUGUUUAAAGCUUUAUAGGUCAAAACCAGCACACUGAAUGGGCAGCCAGUGCAGUCGGACCAGGAUUGGUGCAAUAUGUUCAAACCGUCUUGCUCCGGUGAGCAACCUGCCCGCUGAAUUCUGCACCAGCUGAAGUUUCCGAACCGUCUUCAGAGGCAGCCCAACGUGUAACGCAUUGCAGUAAUCUAACCUUGAGGUUGCCAGAGCAUAAACAGCAGUAGUUAGGUGAUCCCUGUCCAGACAGAGGCGUAGUUGGGCCACCAGCCGAAGCUGAUGGAAGGCGCUCUGGGCCACGGAGGCCACCUGAGCCUGGAGCGACAGGAAAGGAUCCAGGAGGACCCCAAGCUAUGAAGCUCUCCUUCAGAGGAAGUGUAAUCCCAUCAAGAGCAGGCCAUCUCCCUAGAACGGUAUACUAAAAAUGAUGAAGUUAAAUCAAUGACUUUGGUUAUAAUAUACAAUUUUUAUCAUGGGAAAAGUUAUGGAAUGAGGAUUUGAAGUUUACGGCUUGCUGUUCCGUUAAAAGAAACCUAUAUGAAAAUGAUGUACUGUUGGUACCUAACACUGAGUAAAAUUGCAAAAAUGUAUAGAACCAGCUCAAAUUUGUGCUGGAAAUGUAAAAGGAAAGAAGGUACCUUUUAUCAUAUGUGGUGGUCCUAUGGAGUGGUAAAAGCGUUCUGGGAAAUGAUAUAUACUGAAUUAAAGAAAGCGUUU